UAUACCCUAGCCCAACUGCUUGACCUAAGUAGACGAAAAGUCUCGAUGAGACGUCCCUGUCAUCGAGAACAUGCGUAUUAAAUGCCUUUCUUAUAAUAUGUAACAUUUCGUAGGGAAUCUUUGACUUGUGUCCAUAAGCUAGUGAGUAAUGAUGCUUCCUCCAGCUCAGGGAACUCGAGUACUUGAGCAAUGAUGCUUUCUUAUAAUAUGUCUUUGAAGAUAUUCUCCAAGUUCUGGUAGCAAAGCCAUUUCUUGUCAGAAUCAGAGUCUUAUGUUUAUAGGUUGGAAGAUUUGUCUCAAGAAGAAAUUUUCCUGAAGAGGAAGCUGAUGCCCUUCUCAAAGCUCUAGGUUACGUCAUGGGUGUUAUCCCUUCUGGUGCAAUGUGGAAGAAGAAAUUAAACAAGCUGAUGCCCUUCUCAAAGCUCUAGGUUACGUCAUGGGUGUUAUCCCUUCUGGUGCAAUGUGGAAGAAGAAAUUAAACAGACUCAUAGAGACACGCCUGUUGGUGGAAGUCGGGUCGAAAGAGGCCAGGAGGUCAUUUUUGAUGCAAUGUGAGAAAACAAUGCAACAAAUGAGGAGGACUCCAGGAGUUACCCCUCUCCUAGCCCGUGCUACCAAUAUUCUGACCACUAGAAGGGUUUCAACAAUUAAGGUCCAUACUAUUUUGGGUACUCGGGAUACACUUACUCCUAUAUAGGUGAAAGUCUGGGAUUCAUCUGACCGAGUUAUAGUGGAGGAUGCUCCGUGUUUAUCAUGACCCAACGAUGGAGGAACCCUAGAUCUUAGUCCUAAGCUUGAAAAGCUUCUCUCACCAAGUGUCUCCGACUUCUAAAGUGGGAUUUAAGGAGUCCAAGCUCCACGAAGAAUUAUGCAUCGGUCCUAACCGAGUUUGCCUCCUAUGAUGCAGGUCCGCCUUAGUCAAGGAUAGCUAGGGAGUUUCGGUCUUUCACCUCUAAAGAAGAGGCCACUCUUGUUGAAGCAAACUGGGCACUAGAUCCUUCCCAAAAAAGUGUGGAAGAGCUUGAAGAAUCUUUGAAGGAGUCUCAAGAAGGUCGGGAGAAGGAUGAAGAUGACCUUCGUGAGAUGCGUCUUGAGAAUCUUUCUUUGUUUAAGGAGUACGCAAAGUCAUUGGAUGAGAGUUACUCUAUUGCACAUAAUUCUUUUGAAUUUUUUUAGAGCAGGUGAAAUAUUUUUAUCCCACCGGGCCUAUCUCACGAGAACUAGUCCGUUCUGACUAAAUGAUGGAGGAUGGAAAGUCGAUUUCCUUGGCGGAUGAGCCAAUUUGUUUUAUUUGUUACAACGCUUGUACCUAGUGUAUUUGUAUCUUUAAUGAAUAAGAAAAAUUUAUGAUUCCUGUUU